rnacentral:tRNA from 1 species
CAGAAAAUAGUUUAACUUAGAAUGCUGGCUUUGGGGGCUAGUGGUGAGAGUUUAAGUCUUUCUUUUCUGG